UGCACGGAAGCUUCCAAUAGCCAGAGUAAGGUGAACAGGAGCGCACCAUGGCAGCUGUCAUCAGUUUCUUCUCUUUCCAGAGCCGUUUCAGAAUGGCUCACCUCCCCUCUAGCCACUUCUGACCUGUCCAUACGGCAGGCAGCUCUACCCUCAUGAUGAGGAUGAAAGUUAUGAGAAGAAACCAGACUGCUCAUCGCACUGGAGCCUUCCUUUCCUCCUCGCCUAGUCUCUUGAGAAGGCAGGACCUCUUCUCAGAUGACAGCAGGUCCUUCCAUCCCUUUGCUUCCCACUCCAUCCAUUGCUAGCGACCAGCAUCCUCCCCUAAGGUCUGGGAGCACGGAAUCGCGCAUCUUCGUGACUGGCAGGCUGUUACCAUAGGCAGGUACGAAGCAUGAAACCUGGGAGGACGCCAGUGAAGAAGAUGCUGUUUGCAGCCCCAGCAUCAGAGACCCAGGAUGAGGAAAAUACCUGAGAACCUGAGCCAUGGAUGUGGAUCAGUGAAUAUUCCUUCAGCCCCUGGUGUCUGCUCUUCAUGGUCAGAACACAGAAGAGAGAGCAGACCAGCCUCUCCCACCCAGUGGCUGGGAAGAGCAGGUGCCCCUGGAAGGCAGGCAACCAUCCGAUCGCAUUUCAAUCACGCCAGCAAUCUUCCCCUCCUGGGCUCACUGGAAGCGCAGCUGCCCUGGAUGUGGGUCUAUGGACUCAGCUUUUGGCAAAAAAAAUUUAACAAAUAAAAUGUGAGAUGAGUGAGAUGCUCACAGUGUACGAACUGCACAGAGCGUAAAGGAGGCAGCGACAGUCCCUAACUCCCUGGGCCCUCCCUGCCUUCGAGCUGAGAGCUUUGCAGCUGAGAUGCACCGCGAGCCCAGUGGCCACCUUCGUUUAGAUGGGAGCUGGAGAUAAUGUAACCCCAGGGCUUACUGAGAGACCACUGUGAGCUCAGAAAUUUGGCAUGACAGAAAAUUGGCAUGAGAAUGGCCACCCCAUUUUUGCCUUUAGAGUGCCUUGGAAUCCAAGGGAGACAUGCUUCCUUAUCCAAAUAUUGUCCUGAAGCCCUCCAUUGACUGAGUGUUUUCCUGAGAAAGCUUCGCAUGGCAAUGUCCCUCCAUCCCACUUUUCACAUAUUUGUUCUGACUCUGGCACCAGGAAGCUCUCAUUGUUCCCGUCAGUGCUUGCUGGGCCAGUGACAUUAUUCCCUGUGUUAGUGACAGACAGUGUGUUUCCUUUCUAGAAGUUCUCAUGAGAGUUUCUUGCACUGAGCUCCGAACAUGCCAAAAAAAGCAGCCUAUUGGCAGGUCUCUGCUCCCUGGUUCUUCCUUGCUGCCUUUUAGGUCAAAGCCAUCUUAGCAAUGCCACCACCGACUGAACAAGGAGCAGCAGUGGGGAGAGUCUAGCACACUGUCCUUACCCUGCUCAGAACACCCUAAGCCUGUGCCUGGGGCAUCUCACCCAGCCACUUCACCUGGGCACCCAGCCUGUGGGGUACCGCACAAGACCUCAGACCCUUCCCAUGAACGCCCUAACGCACACAGCGUUCCUUCUGCCUGUGGCGGGAAGGACUUGGACUUUAAGGACCGGCCAUCAUGCUUUCUGUGUCAGGACAGACAUCUAUCACUGAAUUCUGGGCUCACAAAUGCAGUAAAUGAAGUUAGGGGCAGCAGUAACACAGGGCCGCCCUGUCCACAGGGGCUGCAAACAUCCAUCAAGUCUCACCCUCUCCACGGGGACCCAGAUACUGCUUGAUGCUUAGUAACUGCAGCGGCAUCUGUUGAAAAGACCGAGGGAGACAAAGUUCACACGGAAGACCCUUCAGAGCUGGCCUUCACUGAGGCCCCCUCUUCUUAAAGCCUGUGGGUGCGUGCAUGUGUGUGGUGCUGAGCAUAGCCUGGGUAUCGUGCCUCCAGCAUAGACACGACUGUUCACUUCUUUUUCUCUUCUCCUGAGACAGGGUCCAUCGCUGGCCUGGAGCCAGGACACAGCUCAGGCUGGCUGGCUGUCAUGCCAUGCCAGUACAAAGAUGACAAGCGCGUGUCAACACCCCUUCCCGCCAUGGGUUCUCGGUACCAGCCUCAGGUCCUCCUGCAUAGAGAGGGCUUUAACAGCCAGGUUAACACCAUAGCCCUUGUCUUCCUUCUCCCUUGACACUUAUUAUCAAAACCACUAGCUGUUCUAAGCACCUGUUUCCUCAGAGAAACUCUGGUGUGAAGAUUUAAAUCACCACCAACCUGGGAAGGGUGAUGGACCCAGAGACUUAUUCCCCAGACAUGAGAGCAAACGCCAGAGAAGCAGGCCUGGCAGUGUGGCCUGGGGCUGCGCCCUCCAGCAUCAGCUGUGGCCCCAGACCUACCCACACUGUCGUCACCCCCAGCCUGCCCCCAGGCCCAGACAAUGGAUCUCCCCCCUCUUGGUGGUAAAGCAGCUGCUGUUGUGUGGGGGCGUGCAAGAGUCCAUCUUUCCUCUCUGCUAUGUUCCCCUGCAAGACACACUCCAGGUAUGAUUUACUUCUGGCUCAUUUCCUACGAGUCGGCUCCAUAGGAUGCAAAAUGAUGAUAAUGCUUGUCUCCAGAUAAUGAGUAAGGAGUUCAUGUUUCCCAUCGUGGAGAUGUUAUACAAAUGGGCAGUAUCAUUACCGCUAAAAUCCAUGACUGGAGAAAUUAAAUUUCCUGGAAUGUUUUCUAUCUCCCAGGAAUGUUUGUAAUCCUCUGUAUUUACUGCUAAAUGAGGUGGACUGCAAGAAAGGGGAUGUUUAAAAGGCAGGAAUGAGCUCAACGGGAAAAAUUAACAAAUGGGAAAAUUGCAGUCCUGCGCUGCGUGCUUCAUGGAAAAGGAAGCUCAGUAAACAUGCAACAGGAAACCAUGUUUGAUUUCUGCGAGGAAGGCUUAACGAACAACAGACUCAAGCAGGCUCUUCAAAGACGUUUCUGCACUUGUUUACCUUCCAAAAUGCCCCUGAAGAGAACAGUGUGCCUCGCUUUAAAAAGAAGUGGUGUCAUGGAACAACUUACCCAGCUCUGCCAUGGGCUCGCUGGUCUGGACGGACAGAAAAUGAAAGGAUUCAUUCAAAAACUGGAAAGGAAAGGACAUGCAAGUUUUUGGGGGUGGGGGUUAAGACUCACGUGUCUUUAAUAACUUCUCAAGCUCAGUACAGUUUCAUGUACAGUUUCAUGAACACAGAAGCAUCAAAUUCAGGUAAAUUUUCAUUAAUUCUAUGUACUUCGCUAAUGUGUUCAAGUGUCAAUUUUCUAUACCUGUUUCCACCUCUGUUUUUACCACAAGGUACCAAUUUCUAGCCUUGUGAAGUCAGAACAAAGAAGUGGCAUUUUGAAGAUCAUUGUCUUCUGAGAGACAGAAGGACAGUUCACUGGUGCUCCUCCCUGCAGGCAGCGGCCAGUGCUGCCUCGGCCAUCAGUCUAGGAGACCACCCCACCACCCCUCCAUCAGCCUGAGAGGCCACCCCACCCCGGCCCCUCUUCACCACAAGUACCUGAACCCUUUGCUCCUCUCCUUGGGCGAUGGCUAUAAUCACCCACAGUACUUCAGCCUAUGACUCAGUAUUCUGACCUACGAAGAGGUGAUGGGGACUGGAACUGAGGGGAGAGGGGAAACAUUGUUCUCAAACUUUAUCCUGUUCUAAAGCCAGGCUUAGUCAGCCUCUCGAAUGCACCCAUUUUUCCAGUCCAGGACACAGCUCUCCCAGAGCCAGGGUGGACUCACUCUGGUCCCUAGUUGCUUUCGACGGAGGUGCCCCCUGAUGUCUUUGAUCAGCUUUCUGGGACCUGGCGCCAAUGAAUUUCUAUUCAUGGACCCAGGUUCCAGGUCCAUCAAAGAAGAGGCCCACUCCCUCCCUCGGCAACUACUUACU